AAUCCGAGUUCUUGAUCUAUUGGAUUGAUCUAAUCUUUGAUAGCUUGGAUACCUCUUCUUCGAUUGGCUAAUUCCGCACGAACCCAAUUUUCCUCUUUUUUAUUUUAUCGGUGGCUAGUGCGGGUCUAUGUUGAGUUUGUGAGUCAUUACUUUCAAAGGAAUAUCUGUCAUAUUAGCAUAGGACCAACUAAAGCAAUCUGUGUUAUCUCGUAAAAAUUCAAUUAACUUACCUCUGAGUUUGGGGUCAAGUCUGAUCUGAUCAGAUAUAGACUUUUCUCUCCAAGAAGUCAACGAAAAGGAUGAUUGAUUCCAACUCUUUUGUUGUUGAAUUAGUUGCAUCCUUUUUUCUAGGUUGCUAAUUGUAUUCGAGAUUACGGAUUAUUCUUGUUCCGCAUCAUCCGAUCUUUUACCAGCUGAAGGGUCUAAGUUGCUUGAUGACCCUCAUUGCUUUGAUUGCUAUUCUUUGACUCCAUCUCUAUCCAGGGUGGAUGGUACAACAUCUAUGUCAUGAAUCCAUGGUCUUCCCAAGAUGAUGUUGUAUGCCAUGGUUGUAUCUACCACUUGGAACGAGGUACGAGGAGCUGCCUCGAGAGAAAGCUUGUAAUAGACCAGGCUCGGGCUCAAUGGCUGAGUAUGAAGCAUGAAGAUCGAAGUGCUCGCUGAAGAUAGAGACCAAGUAUGACCGACUUCGAGCAGGGCAUAAUAAAGGAAUGGCGAGAUAUUAGCAACUGACCAAAGAUCUCGGCGAAAAUUCCGGAACAGAUCGAAUCAAGCGGUUAUUGACGCCAGUCAUGGGAUUUGUUUCCGUUAUUAGAAUUGUACCUUAUUUAGGAUUCAUCUACUAUAUAAAGAGGGACUUCAUUCAUUUGUAAGGGGCA